rnacentral:rRNA from 1 species
UACGUAGGGUGCAAGCGUUGUCCGGAAUUAUUGGGCGUAAAGAGCUCGUAGGCGGUCUGUCACGUCGGCUGUGAAAACCCGAGGCUCAACCUCGGGCCUGCAGUCGAUACGGGCAAACUAGAGUACUGCAGGGGAGACUGGAAUUCCUGGUGUAGCGGUGAAAUGCGCAGAUAUCAGGAGGAACACCGGUGGCGAAGGCGGGUCUCUGGGCCGAUACUGACGCUGAGGAGCGAAAGCGUGGGGAGCGAACAGG